GACGAACGCUGGCGGCGUGCUUAACACAUGCAAGUCGAACGGAAAGGCCCUGCUUUUGUGGGAUGCUCGAGUGGCGAACGGGUGAGUAACACGUGAGUAACCUGCCCUUGACUUUGGGAUAACUUCAGGAAACGGGGGCUAAUAGGGGAUAGGAGCUCCUGCUGCAUGGUGGGGGUUGGAAAGUUUCGGCGGUUGGGGAUGGACUCGCGGCUUAUCAGCUUGUUGGUGGGGUAGUGGCUUACCAAGGCGUUGACGGGUAGCCGGCCUGAGGGGGGGACCGGCCACAUGGGGACUAGGAUACGGCCCAGACUCCUACGGGGGGCAGCGGGGGGGAUUAUUGCACAAUGGGCCGAAGCCGAAGGCAGCAACGCCGCGGGCGGGAUGACGGCCUUCGGGUUGUAAACCGCUUUCCCCUGUGACGAAGCGUGAGUGACGGUAAUGAGUAAAGAAGCACCGGCUAACUACGUG
rnacentral:rRNA from 1 species